rnacentral:rRNA from 1 species
UACCUCCAGGAGUUUUGGACCUGGCUCAGAUUGAACGCUAGCGGGAUGCCUUACACAUGCAAGUCGAACGGCAGCACGGACUUCGGUCUGGUGGCGAGUGGCGAACGGGUGAGUAAUGUAUCGGAACGUGCCCAGUAGCGGGGGAUAACUACGCGAAAGCGUAGCUAAUACCGCAUACGCCCUACGGGGGAAAGCAGGGGAUCGCAAGACCUUGCACUAUUGGAGCGGCCGAUAUCGGAUUAGCUAGUUGGUGGGGUAACGGCUCACCAAGGCGACGAUCCGUAGCUGGUUUGAGAGGACGACCAGCCACACUGGGACUGAGACACGGCCCAGACUCCUACGGGAGGCAGCAGUGGGGAAUUUUGGACAAUGGGGGAAACCCUGAUCCAGCCAUCCCGCGUGUGCGAUGAAGGCCUUCGGGUUGUAAAGCACUUUUGGCAGGAAAGAAACGUCAUGGGUUAAUACCCCGUGUAAAUCUGACGGUACCUGCAGAAUAAGCACCG